rnacentral:rRNA from 1 species
GACGAACGCUGGCGGCGUGCCUAAUACAUGCAAGUCGAACGCUUCUUUCCUCCCGAGUGCUUGCACUCAAUUGGAAGGAGGAGUGGCGGACGGGUGAGUAACACGUGGGUAACCUACCCAUCAGAGGGGGAUAACACUUGGAAACAGGUGCUAAUACCGCAUAACAGUUUAUGCCGCAUGGCAUAAGAGUGAAAGGCGCUUUCGGGUGUCGCUGAUGGAUGGACCCGCGGUGCAUUAGCUAGUUGGUGAGGUAACGGCUCACCAAGGCCACGAUGCAUAGCCGACCUGAGAGGGUGAUCGGCCACACUGGGACUGAGACACGGCCCAGACUCCUACGGGAGGCAGCAGUAGGGAAUCUUCGGCAAUGGACGAAAGUCUGACCGAGCAACGCCGCGUGAGUGAAGAAGGUUUUCGGAUCGUAAAACUCUGUUGUUAGAGAAGAACAAGGACGUUAGUAACUGAACGUCCCCUGACGGUAUCUAACCAGAAAGCCACGGCUAACUACGUGCCAGCAGCCGCGGUAAUACGUAUGUGGCAAGCGUUGUCCGGAUUUAUUGGGCGUAAAAGCGAGCGCAGGCGGUUUCUUAAGUCUGAUGUGAAAGCCCCCGGCUCAACCGGGGAGGGUCAUUGGAAACUGGGAGACUUGAGUGCAGAAGAGGAGAGUGGAAUUCCAUGUGUAGCGGUGAAAUGCGUAGAUAUAUGGAGGAACACCAGUGGCGAAGGCGGCUCUCUGGUCUGUAACUGACGCUGAGGCUCGAAAGCGUGGGGAGCAAACAGGAUUCGAUACCCUGGUAGUCCACGCCGUAAACGAUGAGUGCUAAGUGUUGGAGGGUUUCCGCCCUUCAGUGCUGCAGCAAACGCAUUAAGCACUCCGCCUGGGGAGUACGACCGCAAGGUUGAAACUCAAAGGAAUUGACGGGGGCCCGCACAAGCGGUGGAGCAUGUGGUUUAAUUCGAAGCAACGCGAAGAACCUUACCAGGUCUUGACAUCCUUUGACCACUCUAGAGAUAGAGCUUUCCCUUCGGGGACAAAGUGACAGGUGGUGCAUGGUUGUCGUCAGCUCGUGUCGUGAGAUGUUGGGUUAAGUCCCGCAACGAGCGCAACCCUUAUUGUUAGUUGCCAUCAUUUAGUUGGGCACUCUAGCGAGACUGCCGGUGACAAACCGGAGGAAGGUGGGGAUGACGUCAAAUCAUCAUGCCCCUUAUGACCUGGGCUACACACGUGCUACAAUGGGAAGUACAACGAGUCGCUAGACCGCGAGGUCAUGCAAAUCUCUUAAAGCUUCUCUCAGUUCGGAUUGCAGGCUGCAACUCGCCUGCACGAAGCCGGAAUCGCUAGUAAUCGCGGAUCAGCACGCCGCGGUGAAUACGUUCCCGGGCCU